rnacentral:rRNA from 1 species
AUCAGCGGCGGACGGGUGAGUAACACGUGGGUAACCUGCCUGUAAGACUGGGAUAACUCCGGGAAACCGGGGCUAAUACCGGAUAACUCAUUUCCUCGCAUGAGGAAAUGUUGAAAGGUGGCUUUUAGCUAUCACUUACAGAUGGACCCGCGGCGCAUUAGCUAGUUGGUGAGGUAACGGCUCACCAAGGCAACGAUGCGUAGCCAACCUGAGAGGGUGAUCGGCCACACUGGGACUGAGACACGGCCCAAACUCCUACGGGAGGCAGCAGUAGGGAAUCUUCCGCAAUGGACGAAAGUCUGACGGAGCAACGCCCCGUGAGUGAUGAAGGUUUUCGGAUCGUAAAGCUCUGUUGUUAGGGAAGAACAAGUGCCGUUCGAAUAGGGCGGCACCUUGACGGUACCUAACCAGAAAGCCACGGCUAACUACGUGCCAGCAGCCGCGGUAAUACGUAGGUGGCAAGCGUUGUCCGGAAUUAUUGGGCGUAAAGCGCGCGCAGGUGGUUUCUUAAGUCUGAUGUGAAAGCCCACGGCUCAACCGUGGAGGGUCAUUGGAAACUGGGGAACUUGAGUGCAGAAAAGGAAAGUGGAAUUCCAAGUGUAGCGGUGAAAUGCGUAGAUAUUUGGAGGAACACCAGUGGCGAAGGCGACUUUCUGGUCUGUAACUGACACUGAGGCGCGAAAGCGUGGGGAGCAAACAGGAUUAGAUACCCUGGUAGUCCACGCCGUAAACGAUGAGUGCUAAGUGUUAGGGGGUUUCCGCCCCUUAGUGCUGCAGCUAACGCAUUAAGCACUCCGCCUGGGGAGUACGGUCGCAAGACUGAAACUCAAAGGAAUUGACGGGGGCCCGCACAAGCGGUGAAGCAUGUGGUUUAAUUCGAAGCAACGCGAA